rnacentral:rRNA from 1 species
UACGAAGGGGGCUAGCGUUGCUCGGAAUCACUGGGCGUAAAGCGCACGUAGGCGGAUUGCUAAGUCAGGGGUGAAAGCCUCCAGCUCAACUGGAGAACUGCCAUUGAUACUGGCGGGCUUGAGUACAGACGAGGUAGGCGGAAUUGAUUGUGUAGCGGUGAAAUGCAUAGAUACAAUCAAGAACACCGAUUGCGUAGGCAGCUUACUAGGCUGUAACUGACGCUGAGGCACGAAAGCGUGGGGAGCAAACAGG